UACAGAGGUUCCAAGCGUUUUUCGGAUUCACUGGGCGUAAAGGGUGCGCAGGCGGCCGGGUAAGUCUGAUGUGAAAUCUCCGGGCUCAACCCGGAAAGGGCAUUGGAUACUAUCCGGCUGGAGGGUUGCAGGGGGGACUGGAGUUAUCGGUGUAGCAGUGAAAUGCGUAGAUAUCGAGAGGAACACCCGUGGCGAAGGCAAGUCCCUGGACAACUCCUGACGCUCAUGCACGAAAGCUAGGGGAGCAAACAGG
rnacentral:rRNA from 1 species